rnacentral:misc_RNA from 1 species
CCGAGCUCUUUCGUUUCUCUCGAAGGUCCUCUAUGACCGCUGUAGAGACAGCCUCCGCCGUUACAAUUGAGCCUCCGCCUGUUGAGUCUACCUUGGUGGAGGGGCCAGCCACAUCAGAUGUCCCUCCGGUGAAGCUGGCCAAGGUGAAGGCCACGAAGGCUCCCAAGGAAAAGAAGGCCGUGACGAAGAAGCCGGCCCUACAUCCUACCUAUCUCGAGAUGAUCCGCGAGGCGAUAGCGUCCCUCAAGGAGCGAACCGGGUCAAGCCAGUACGCGAUCUCAAAGUUUGUUGAAGACAAGCACAAGGCUCACCUCCCGGCCAACUUUAAGAAGAUCCUCCUCGUUCAGCUGCGGAAACUCACCGCUGCUGGCAAACUCACCAAGGUCAAGAACUCCUACAAGAUCGCUGCAAAGCCUCUUGCUUCAGUGAAGAAGACAUCUGUCUCUGCCAAGCCGAAGAUAAAGUCUGCUGCUGCUAAGCCGAAGUCCACUGCUGUGAAGGCAAAGAAGGCAGCAGUGAAACCGAAUCCAAAAUCAUCUGCUGCGAAGCCUAAAGCUAAGCCUGCUGCUGCAAAGCUGAAGACAGCAGUGAAGUCGAAGGCUGUUCAACCAAAGCCUAAGACUGCUGGUCGACUGGCUAAGGCAGGGAAGGCCUCAGCCAAAGCCACUCCUUCUACCAAGCCGAAGAAGGCUGCUCCAGUUGCUGCCAAGAAGCUGAAGACUGUGAAAAAGGCGCCGGCAGUGAAGAAGAACUCUGCUGUGAAGAAGGCCUAGUUGUAAAUCUGCUUUGGGUUUUUUUGGGUGAUGGGCAGCGAGUUGUAUAUCUGACUGUGUUGUUGGGCGAUGGCGUCUUGGGCUGAAUAAAUCUUU